rnacentral:rRNA from 1 species
UACGGAGGGUGCAAGCGUUGCUCGGAAUCACUGGGCGUAAAGGGCGCGUAGGUGGCACGACAAGUCAGUGGUGAAAGCUCGACGCUCAACGUCGAGUCGGCCACUGAUACUGUUGGGCUGGAGCACUGUAGAGGCAGAUGGAAUUCCGGGUGUAGCGGUGGAAUGCGUAGAGAUCCGGAAGAACACCGGUGGCGAAGGCGGUCUGCUGGGCAGUUGCUGACACUGAGGCGCGACAGCGUGGGGAGCAAACAGG